rnacentral:rRNA from 1 species
AUUGAACGCUGGCGGCAGGCCUAACACAUGCAAGUCGAGCGGAGCGGCGGACGGGUGAGUAAUGUAUCGGAACGUGCCCAGUAUCGGGGGAUAACUACGCGAAAGCGUAGCUAAUACCGCAUACUAUUGGAGCGGCGGAUAUCGGAUUAGCUAGUGGGUGGGGUAACGGCUCACCAAGGCGACGAUCCGUAACUGGUCUGAGAGGAUGAUCAGUCACACUGGAACUGAGACACGGUCCAGACUCCUACGGGAGGCAGUAGUGGGGAAUAUUGGACAAUGGGCGAAAGCCUGAUCCAGCCAUGCCGCGUGUGUGAAGAAGGUCUUCGGAUUGUAAAGCACUUUAAGUUGGGAGGCGUUACCAACAGAAGAAGCACCGGCUAACUUCGUGCCAGCAGCCGCGGUAAUUC